rnacentral:snRNA from 1 species
GUGCUUGUUUCGGCAGUACAUGUAGUACAACUGGAAUGAUGCAGAGAAGAUUAGCAUGGCUCCUCUGCAAGGAUGACACGACAUGCAAAUUUGUGAAGCGUUCUAUAUUUAU